rnacentral:rRNA from 1 species
CGCUGGCGGCAGGCCUAACACAUGCAAGUCGAGCGGUAACAGAAAGUAGCUUGCUACUUUGCUGACGAGCGGCGGACGGGUGAGUAAUGCCUAGGGAUCUGCCCAGUCGAGGGGGAUAACAGUUGGAAACGACUGCUAAUACCGCAUACGCCCUACGGGGGAAAGGAGGGGACCUUCGGGCCUUUCGCGAUUGGAUGAACCUAGGUGGGAUUAGCUAGUUGGUAAGGUAAUGGCUUACCAAGGCGACGAUCCCUAGCUGUUCUGAGAGGAUGAUCAGCCACACUGGGACUGAGACACGGCCCAGACUCCUACGGGAGGCAGCAGUGGGGAAUAUUGCACAAUGGGGGAAACCCUGAUGCAGCCAUGCCGCGUGUGUGAAGAAGGCCUUCGGGUUGUAAAGCACUUUCAGUAGGGAGGAAAGGUAGCAGCUUAAUACGUUGUUNCUGUGACGUUACCUACAGAAGAAGGACCGGCUAACUUCGUGCCAGCAGCCGCGGUAAUAC